CAAAGCGUGUUUUAUGUUUAUCCUGAGUUUGUGGGAAAAAAAGGUAGUGACGAUGUCGCUUCGUUAAUUCACCACUUUAUGUACAACUUCCUCGACGAGAAAGUUAAGUCCUUAUACUUAUUCUGCGAUUCGUGUCCGGGUCAGAAUAAAAAUUUUACAAUUUUUCGUUUCCUGCAUCAUCUGGUUAACAUAGAAAAACGGCUAGACUUUAUUAAAGUUAUAUUUCCAAUUCGGGGACAUUCAUAUUUGGAAUGCGACAAGAAUUUCGGCUUGGUAAAUCAAAAAACCAAAGUAGAACAUCCUAAGGAAUGGAUUGCAGCUUUUGAAAAUGCUAGAUCCAAACCAAACCCAUUUAUCGUUUUGGAUGUUACACAGGAUUAUUUUCGAGGGUGGACGAAGCAUUUCGAUACAAUAUACAAAAAGAAAUGCCCCAUUCUGUCCCGUCCUAUUAAGGAAAUAAAGGUGGAAAAAGAGCAUCCACAUCUACUAUAUUACCGCACUUCAUAUAACGGUGCAUGGGAAAAUUUUGUUAUUACCAGCCCCAAGUCUCGAAAAACAAAGCUAAAUAACAACGAAUUUGAGCUUCCGGAGUGUUGCUAUAGAGAUUUAAUACAGAUUUCCAAAGAGAAAUUCCAAGAUUUACAGCAUCUAGCCCAGUUUUGUGGACCUGAGGCAGCAAACUUUUAUUCGUCAAUACCCCAUAAAUGAAUGUUUUCUUGUUUCAUUAUUUAAUAAAAUAUUAUAAAACUGUUGACGCUCGGA